UACGGGGGGGGCAAGCGUUGUUCGGAAUUACUGGGCGUAAAGGGCGCGUAGGCGGCCUGCUAAGUCGGACGUGAAAUCCCUCGGCUCAACCGAGGAACUGCGUCCGAUACUGGUGGGCUUGAAUCCGGGAGAGGGAUGUGGAAUUCCAGGUGUAGCGGUGAAAUGCGCAGAUAUCAGGAGGAACACCGGUGGCGAAGGCGGUUCUCUGGGCCUUACCUGACGCUGAGACACGAAAGCCAGGGGAGCAAACGGG
rnacentral:rRNA from 1 species